rnacentral:lncRNA from 1 species
UAUAUACAUAGUGAGGCUAUUAUGCUAUCGGAAGCACAGAGCCUUCCGUGCUUUCAGCUCGUUUUCGAUGUUGUGACUUUCGAAUUGUCGAUCGGCUCCGUUAAACUUAAUCUAGAGUAUUUGGAGUACCUAGAAAAUAAAUUUUAUUAUUUUUCGAUAUCAUUUGCCUAGUGAUCGAAUGGGCUCAAAAUCAACAAAUUUCAAUGGCCGUAGUGAGCCGUUUGUAAGUUUAACGGUGUAGAAAUAUCCAAAUCAUGUGAAAUUUUGAUAGAAAAUUUUUUAUACUAUAUAAAACAAGAUCAAUAUCUUUGAUUUAAAAUUUUAAUGUCAUAUUAUUAUAUUUUGUAAGAUUUUUAUUUUCAGCCGUUGAUUUUGAGCCCCUU